AAAAAAAAAAAAAAAAAAACAGUUCCACAUCAUUUUCUAUGGUUCUAUCAUUCUAAAUUUCAAUAGUACCAAGUUAUUGUGUACAUUAAAAUUUCACAUUUGUCAUCUCACUUUUUGUUUUAGUGAUAAUGUUGAGAAAAUUAUAAUCUGUAAUUGAUUUCUUGUCAUUCAUUUUGAUUACCAUGGAUGAUUUUAAGAAGUCAUUUUUUUUUAUGUGGAAUGGAAAAGUAAUUCAUAAAGGGAGGAAGGUAUUGUUAUUAAAUGUGUUGGGUGGCACUUUGUUUGAGCCAUAUCAUAUGUGGAGAGGAUACUGCAAGACUACAAUCUGAUUUUGCAAAAGUUUUGUAACUUAAGUAUUGUUAUAUCUUAAAAAUCUUGAAAACACUAAAGCAGCUGAGUAACAUGGAAUGAUUCUAAACUUUUUUGUUAAAGUGAACUUGUGAAGUACUCGGUCAAGAAAAAAGAAGUUUAUGGACUAAUACAGAUAAAAAUUGGUUGUAUAAUCUAGUCUUGAUAUUUCUUGUGCACGUCAGACUGGAAGUUUUAUAGCGAGGAAAUAUAUGAAGUAAUUGAAACUUUGGAGUAAACUAAAAACAUGUCAUGGAGCUUUUUGGUAUGCUAAACUGACCAUUUACAUGAAUGAUUACUGGGAAGGUGCAUGCCUUCUUUGUUAUUUGUGGUUUGUCGCUCUAUCUUGGAUUUAAACUGUUAUGAACAUGGGGAGAUUGAGAGGUAUGUAGUGAACUGGUGUUAUUUGAGAAGAGGGGCAGGGAAAAAGUCACCAAACUGUUAGUUCAUUAGAUAAUUCUGGUAAAUGUUUAUGAAAAAAGGGCUUUCCUUGUUGCUUGGAAGAAUAGGAAUGACACUGUUUUGAAGAGAUUCCAUAGGCAUGCUUUGGAAUUGGGACAUUUGGUGUGGGGAUAUUUGAUGACAUGGAGCAUAUCAUUGCACUGCAAUCGUUAUAAUUUUUACUUUUCUUACAAAUGGAUUCAAGAUAGGGCAUUAUGGGACAUCCAAUUGGAUGGGUCACUGGAAGUAGUUUGUUAAUCUGCAGAACUCCUUAAAACAUAUAAUAUGCUAUCCCACUAUUAUUCUUGUUUUUUAAUCAAUGGAUGAAAACAAUGAUUGGUUUCUAUUGAUAUUGAUUGAAGGUUGAUCCUUCUUCUGCUUCUUGAUUUUGGAGACAAUAUGGCAAAAUCUGUUCCUUCCUUCCUUCAAACUGAUUUAUCUGGAUAUUUAAACUUUAGAUCUUGGUGUUCGUCAUUGUUGUCUUUGCCUUCUAUCUUUUCAGGAUCCAUAUUUCAGAAUGACACGAGAUGUUGCUCCUCGGAUAGGAUAUCACAAGCCUUCAUUGAUUGAAUC
rnacentral:misc_RNA from 1 species